GGAGGUUUAGCUCAGUGGUAGAGUGCGUGCUUAGCAUGCACGAAGUCCUGGGUUCCAUCCUCAGUACCUCUG
rnacentral:tRNA from 1 species